rnacentral:rRNA from 1 species
UACGUAGGGGUCGAGCGUUGUCCGGAGUUACUGGGCGUAAAGCGUGUGCAGGCGGCUCAUUGAGCCCGGCGUGAAAGCCCCCGGCUCAACCGGGGAGAGUCGUCGGGGACGGGUGAGCUUGAGGGUAUCAGGGGCUGGUGGAAUUCCCGGUGUAGUGGUGAAAUGCGUAGAUAUCGGGAGGAACACCCGUGGCGAAGGCGGCCAGCUGGGAUACACCUGACGCUGAGACACGAAGGCGUGGGGAGCGAACGGG